rnacentral:rRNA from 1 species
AGGCCCUCUAUACAUGCAAGUCGAGCGACAGACAAGGAGCUUGCUCCUUUGACGUUAGCGGCGGACGGGUGAGUAACACGUGGGUAACCUACCUAUAAGACUGGGAUAACUUCGGGAAACCGGAGCUAAUACCGGAUAAUAUUUCGAACCGCAUGGUUCGAUAGUGAAAGAUGGUUUUGCUAUCACUUAUAGAUGGACCCGCGCCGUAUUAGCUAGUUGGUAAGGUAACGGCUUACCAAGGCGACGAUACGUAGCCGACCUGAGAGGGUGAUCGGCCACACUGGAACUGAGACACGGUCCAGACUCCUACGGGAGGCAGCAGUAGGGAAUCUUCCGCAAUGGGCGAAAGCCUGACGGAGCAACGCCGCGUGAGUGAUGAAGGUCUUCGGAUCCUUAAAACUUCUUGUUAUUAGGGAAAGAACCAUACGUGUAAGUAACUAUGCACGUCUUGAACGGUAACCUAAUUCAGAAAAGCCACGGGCUAAACUUACCGUGCCAGCAGCCCGCGGGUUAAUACGUAGGUGGGCAAAGCGUUAUCCGGGCAAUUUAUUGGGCGUUAAAGCGCGCGUAGGCGGUUUUUUUUAAGUCUGAUGUGAAAGCCCACGGCUCAACCGUGGAGGGUCAUUGGAAACUGGAAAACUUGAGUGCAGAAGAGGAAAGUGGAAUUCCAUGUGUAGCGGUGAAAUGCGCAGAGAUAUGGAGGAACACCAGUGGCGAAGGCGACUUUCUGGUCUGUAACUGACGCUGAUGUGCGAAAGCGUGGGGAUCAAACAGGAUUAGAUACCCUGGUAGUCCACGCCGUAAACGAUGAGUGCUAAGUGUUAGGGGGUUUCCGCCCCUUAGUGCUGCAGCUAACGCAUUAAGCACUCCGCCUGGGGAGUACGACCGCAAAGGUUGAAACUCAAAGGAAUUUGACGGGGACCCGCACAAGCGGGUGGAGCAUGUGGGUUUAAUUUCGAAAGCAAACGCGAAGAACCUUUACCAAAUCCUUGACAUCCCUUUGUACAACUCUAGAGAUAGAGCCCUUCCCCUUUCGGGGGAACAAAGUGACAGGUGGGUUGCCAUGGGUUGUCGUGCCAGCUCGUUGUCCGCUGGAGAUGUUGGGGGUUAAGUCCCGCAACGAGCGCAACCCUUAAGCUUAGUUGCCAUCAUUAAGUUGGGCACUCUAAGUUGACUGCCGGUGACAAACCGGAGGAAGGUGGGGAUGACGUCAAAUCAUCAUGCCCCUUAUGAUUUGGGCUACACACGUGCUACAAUGGACAAUACAAAGGGCAGCGAAACCGCGAGGUCAAGCAAAUCCCAUAAAGUUGUUCUCAGUUCGGAUUGUAGUCUGCAACUCGACUACAUGAAGCUGGAAUCGCUAGUAAUCGUAGAUCAGCAUGCUACGGUGAAUACGUUCCCGGGUCUUGUACACACCGCCCGUCACACCACGAGAGUUUGUAACACCCGAAGCCGGUGGAGUAACCAUUUGGAGCUAGCCGUCGAAGUGAAUAAA